CCAAAACCACCUCGGCGUAACAUAACCCACUUUCCAAACACACCAUUAGAAAACCUUGCCAUAUGGAGCCAUAGGCACCACUUGUCAGACUCCGGAAGAGGGAAUCAACAAACAGACGGCGGCCACGAUGACCUCCGCAACCAAACACACAUCUAUCGUCUUCGUCUUCGUCUUCCUCAUCUUCUGCGUUUGGUUCUCAGUCUCGUCAUCCAAAUCCACCGACCCGACUCCAACUCCAUGGCCCCACCAAUUCCAUUCCAUUCUCUUCAUGAAUUACAGCGGUGCUCUCGAAAUAAUCGAUCUCUGGUACGACUGGCCCAACGGUCGAAACUUCAACAUCAUUCAGGACCAGCUUGGGGAGCUUGUGUACGACCUUGAGUGGAACAAUGGAACUUCGUUCGUCUACACAUUGGACGCCCCCAAUAGGUGUCACACAGCACAGCUUGAGGUGGGGAUUCUUCGCCCUAAUUGGCUGGACGGAGCCAACUAUCUGGGUCAGCACCAGGUCGAUGGGUUCCUCUGCAACUUGUGGGAGAAGGUGGACUUCAUUUGGUACUACGAGGAUGUUGUCACCAAAAGGCCCGUGCAUUGGCGCUUUUACACUGAAAUGAUGGCAGGGAUCGAAAGUGAUGGGCUUUUCAAUAAAGAUAUAUGUUUUUAUUAUUCAAUUCGUGACUUUGUAGGGAGAUUAGUUCUAUUUUCCUGGGACAGGAAAUGGGCAUUUCAAUUUUCUUCUGAGUCAUGAUUCUGAGUUGGUGAAAGAUUCUUUGGGUGUGGGGAUUUGAGAUCAAUAGGGGGUGGAGAGGGCACAGUAGGGUGUGUGUUCGAGGUGGGAAAUGGGCAGUCCAGGGAGGGGCUGAAUAAGGUGCGAUUCUCAAACUUGUUUGAGAUUGUGGGUGGCUGAUUAUGGGGUUCAGAAGGGGAGGUUGGACCCAUGUUUUGUUGGGAACACUUCAAGAUAGGGAGAUGGUGUAUAUUGUGGCUUGCAUUGAGUAGAUGUGGUUGGGGAGGGAGGAUGUUAGGCAAUGGCUUCUGACUUGGGACUAGAAAUUCUCGGUUUGACUGUAUCACAAAGAGGCAGUGAGAGAGGAGGGGGGGGCAUACAGAGAUUUUCUUGUGAAGAGAUUUGGGUUCCCAAAAGUUUGUAUUAAUGUAGUGGAUAGCAGUUUGGACCAAAUCUUGGCUAUUGAAUGAGAGAAACAAUUCCUACUAGUACCUCAAAAGAUGGGAGAACACUGACCAUCUGUUGUUUCAUUGUUCAAAGGCCCAUGAUUUAUGGCCAUCAAUGGUUUCGGAUUUGUGGUCUAUGAUGGUUUCUGUCUUUUGGGGUUGAUUGGGUUGUUCAGAAAACAUUGUUAUAAAUGAUGACAAGUUAGCAUGGCAAGUUUAGGGGAGAAGGAGGAGAAAUAUUUGGAGGGGAGCUGCCUGUGUCUUGCCUGGUGUCUAGGGAGACAGAGACAGAGCUUAAGAGGAAGUUGAGAAUAGAGGGCCAUGGAGGAAGUUGAGCCAUCAUUUUUAUGAGGAAGGACUGCACAUGUGAUGACAUUCGAAGUGGGGGCAGUGCUUGAGGACACGAAGUGGCAGGCCCCAGUAUACUGUUUUGAGAAG